AACAUACAAGUAAGCUGUUUCUUGUCUUCUCUACGGCUGUGUAGGAGAAUCAGGUUCUAAUUCUACUGAAUUGUUGUGAUUCAAGGGAGGUUGAUUUCCUUUAUUUUUGCAACUAAGAGAUACAUUAGGUGGAUUAUUGGAGUAGAGAUUCUUGGGAGACAGAAGUUACAAAUUAAUUUUUGUGGAACUGAGGAUUUUAUUAUUAUUUUAUGGCAUUAAACUUUGUAUUGGAGAAUUAUUUUGAGGAUGUUUUGUAUUUGGUGAAUUAGAGCUCUGACUUUUGUAAUCAGUUUCAAGGUUGCUAGUUUCUUUUAUUUAAUAUUUUUAUGGAUUAUUCAGAUUAAAUAGACUUUUAUUGCCUAUGA